UGGGGCAGCAGAUGUGUUUUUAGCUUUGGGGCGGUCAGUGGCGAAAUUGAGUUCCUUGUUUAAUGAUGAUGUCGGGGAAAGACCUGGAUGGGGGAGUUCCAGUCUCAGCCCGCUGCUGCUGACUGUGAGCCUCCUUUGGGAAAGUCCUUAACUUCUCUAGUUCUCUAUUUCCUCAUCUCCAGAAUGGGUAUCACGACGCCGACUUCACAGAGAUGUUCCGAGAUGAAAUGAUGUGAUGGCCAGAAAAAAACAAAGCCAGCAGACACUUCCUCCUUGCAACCUGGCAGCUCACGUCGCUUGGUCCUUUUCCCUUUGGAGACCAAAGAUCUCACUGAGACUUCGAACGCUAAAAAAUGAUCAUCAUCCAAAUACAGUUCCUAAUGCUAGCCAGGCAACACAAGAGUGUACGUGCGUGGAAAUUUAGCAAGCUUCUUAGCUCUUUUUGGAUCACAAAAUUCUAGCCCCCAGCUGGCCUUGAACUUGUGGCAGUGGAGAAUGUCCUUGGAAUACGGAAGCCAAAUAGAAACCUGGAAAUGUUACUCGUCACUGGUUGGAAGCCCUGGACCACGGCUGAUGGAUGCUAGAUUCUGAGUAUCUACCCCCAAAACUCCCCAGAGUAGAUGUUUAGUACGUGGUUGCUAGAUAAUGGAUGGACAGACUGACAUGGGCUGGUGCCUAAGAAAAGUCUAGCAUGUCAUCACCCACCCCAGCAGCCCAGAGAGCUUCAUGUCAAAGACACAAACUAAAUCUAUCUCAUGUGCCAACCACAACCUAGCCAAUGGGCAGUUAUCAAAGCCAGAAAUCUGGCCCAGAGGCCGUGUCGCUCUAAAACGAGGCCAGGUUAAACUUCGUGGUGCUCUCUGCCCCCUGAAAUGCCAGCUUCAGCAGCCCUUUUGAAGUUGACUGAGUGAAACUCCUGACCAUCGUGUUUCUUCUCACCACUGCCUUCCUCCCUCACCUGGACCACCCCCUCAGCUCUCUAGGUGCCCUUCCUCCCAUAGGAGUCUUGAUUGGACUCCUACUGUGCCUAAGCUAUGCCAAGAUUGUCCCCUAGCUAACUCCUGCAACGUUGUGAUGCAAUAUUGUCUUUCAUUAUUUCCUAAAUACCAUGAAAUACGUAAUAUAUAAAGCCAUAAAAAAUAAUGCAGUGAAGACUUUAGAUCAUCAUAAAUAAAACAUCACCAGUGUCCUUCCGAGCCCUUCCUGAAAUCAGGGCA